AAAUGGGCUGGGUAAUAUAGGUAGAUUUAAUGGGAUAAUGGGUAAUAGGAUAAUGGGGAUAAUUGGGCGGGUAAUAGGAAUAAUGGGAUAAUGGGGGGUGUGGGGGGGAUGUGGGGUUAUAUGGGGCUGGGGGGGAUGUGGGUCCCUAUUGGGCUCUAUGCGUCCCUAUGGGGCUCUGUGGGUCCCUAUGGGGGUCUAUGGUGGCUAAGCAGUGUCCCAGUGGGGCUCUAUAGGUCCCUAUGGGGUCUCUAUGGGUCCCAGUGGGUCCCUAUAGGUCUCUAUGGGUCCCUAUGGGGCUCUGUGGGUCCCUAUGGAGGUCUAUGGGGUCUGUGGGUCCCAGUGGGUCCCUAUGGGGUCUGUGGGUCCCAGUGGGUCCCUAUGGGGCUCUAUGGGUCCCUAUGGGGUCUGUGGGUCCCUAUGGGUCCCUAUGGGUCUCUAUGGGUCCCAGUGUGUCCCUAUGGGUCCCUAUGGGGUCUGUGGGUCCCUAUGGUGCCCUAUGGGUCUCUAUGGGUCCCUAUGGGUCCCUAUGGGGUCUGUGGGUCCCAGUGGGUUUCUAUGGGUCCCUAUGGGGUCUGUGGGUCUCUAUGGGUCCCUAUGGGGUCUGUGGGUCCCUAUGGGGUCUGUGGGUCCCUAUGGGUCUGUGGGGCUCUAUGGGUCCCUAUGGGGCUUUAUGGGUCUCUAUGGGGCUCUAUGGGUCCCUAUGGGGUUCUAUGGGUCCCUAUGGGGCUUUAUGGGUCCCUAUGGGGUCUGUGGGUCCCAGUGUGUCCCUAUGGGUCCCAGUGUGUUCCUAUGGGUCCCUAUGGGGUCUGUGGAUCUCUAUGGGUCCCUAUGGGGGUCUAUGGGUCCCUAUGGGGCUUUGUGGGUCCCUAUGGGUCCCUAUGGGUCCCUAUGGGUCCCAGUGUGUCCCUAUGGGUCCCUAUAGGUCUCUAUGGGUCCCUAUGGGNNNNNNNNNNNNNNNNNNNNNNNNNAGCUCUAUGGGUCUAAUCUCUAUGGGGCUGAUCUCUAUGGGGCUGAUCUCUAUGGGGCUGAGUUCUAUGGGUCUAAUCUCUAUGGGGCUGAGCUCUAUGGGGCUGAUCUCUAUGGGGCUGAGUUCUAUGGGUCUAAUCUCUAUGGGGCUGAGCUCUAUGGGGCUGAGCUCUAUGGGGCUGAUCUCUAUGGGGCUGAGCUCUAUGGGCCUGGCUCUAUGGGUCUAAUCUCUAUGGGGCUGAGUUCUAUGGGGCUGAGCUCUAUGGGGCUGGGCUCUAUAGUGCUGAUCUCUAUGGGGCUGAGCUCUAUGGGUCUAAUCUCUCUGGGUCUAAUCUCUAUGGGGCUGAGCUCUAUGGGGCUGAUCUCUAUGGGGUUGAUCUCUAUGGGGCUGAUCUCUAUGGGGCUGUGCUCUAUGGGGCAGGGCUCUAUAGUGCUGAUCUCUAUGGGGCUGGGAUCUAUGGGGCUGAGCUCUAUGGGGCUGGGAUCUAUGGGGCUGAGCUCUAUGGGUCUAAUCUCUAUGGGUCUAAUCUCUAUGGGUCUAAUCUCUCUGGGGCUGUGCUCUAUGGGGCUGAGCUCUAUGGGUCUAAUCUCUCUGGGUCUAAUCUCUAUGGGGCUGUGCUCUAUGGGGCAGGGCUCUAUAGUGCUGAGCUCUAUGGGGCUGUUCUCUAUGGGGCUGAGCUCUAUGGGGCUGAGCCCUAUGGGUCUAAUCUCUCUGGGUCUAAUCUCUAUGGGGCUGAGCCCUAUGGGUCUAAUCUCUAUGGGUCUAAUCUCUAUGGGGCUGAGCUCUAUGGGUCUAAUCUCUAUGGGUCUAAUCUCUAUGGGGCUGUGCUCUAUGGGGCUGAGCUCUAUGGGGCUGAUCUCUAUGGGGCUGAGCUCUAUGGGCCUGGCUCUAUGGGUCUAUUCUCUAUGGGGCUGUGCUCUAUGGGGCUGGGCUCUAUGGGGCUGAUCUCUAUGGGUCUAAUCUCUAUGGGUCUAAUCUCUAUGGGUCUAAUCUCUAUGGGGCUGUGCUCUAUGGGGCAGGGCUCUAUAGUGCUGAUCUCUAUGGGGCUGAUCUCUAUGGGGCUGGGCUCUAUGGGGCUGGGCUCUAUGGGGCUGGGCUCUAUGGGGCUGAGCUCUAUGGGGCUGGGUUCUAUGGGGCUGAUCUCUAUGGGGCUGAGCCCUAUGGGUCUAAUCUCUCUGGGUCUAAUCUCUCUGGGGCUGAGCCCCAUAGUGUGUGUGGUUUGGCUC
rnacentral:lncRNA from 1 species